UACGUAGGGUGCAAGCGUUAUCCGGAAUUAUUGGGCGUAAAGAGCUCGUAGGCGGUUUGUCACGUCUGCUGUGAAAACUGGAGGCUCAACCCCCAGCCUGCAGUGGGUACGGGCAGACUAGAGUGUAGUAGGGGAGAUCGGAAUUCCUGGUGUAGCGGUGAAAUGCGCAGAUAUCAGGAGGAACACCGGUGGCGAAGGCGGAUCUCUGGGCCAUUACUGACGCUGAGGAGCGAAAGCGUGGGGAGUGAACAGG
rnacentral:rRNA from 1 species